rnacentral:tRNA from 1 species
ACCCCUCCCUACUGCUCAAAAAAGAGAGAUUAAACUCCC